UACGUAGGGGGCAAGCGUUGUCCGGAUUCAUUGGGCGUAAAGAGCGUGUAGGCGGCCAGGUAGGUCGGUUGUGAAAACUGGAGGCUCAACCUUCAGAGGUCGACCGAAACCAUCUGGCUAGAGUCCGGGAGAGGAGAGUGGAAUUCCUGGUGUAGCGGUGGAAAUGCGUAGAUAUUGGGAGGAACACCAGUGGCGAAGGCGGCUCACUGGACCGGUACUGACGCUGAUGCGCGAAAGCGUGGGGAGCAAACGGG
rnacentral:rRNA from 1 species